GGGACCUCCAUCCGAGCAAACGCUGCGCAUUAGCUGCUCGCUCUGCCGCCAGCGACUCCAUUACAGAUGCGCUCCGCAUGAUCUCGGAGUCUGCCGCGGUCUACCGUGGACCCGCUUGCUUCGACGCUGUCAGCGGCAAGCUCGUGGAAAAGGCGGGAGUCCAGUUCCGUUUCACGAGCGGAAGGUGUUUGCUCUCGGGCCUCACUGACUCGUUGCUUCUUGUCAGGGACGUGUUGAAGAGUUGCAGAGAUUUGACUUCAGUUGUGUCUGGUCUUGCCUUCUUGUUUGUUGACUGUAGUGCAUUAGGCAUAAACGAAAGCUGGUGCUACUAAAUGCAAUCUUACUUUGGCCUCCACUUCCCUUUUAGUCUCAUAGCAUAAUACAACUCUCUGGAGGAAGUUACAUAAGUCAUGUCUUGCUUUUAGUUCCAAUUGAUCUCCAACUUAUGAAAACACUCUCAUUCUUGUUCCACUUGCUCCAGAUAAGAGCCAAAAGUUGGUCCUUGAUGCUAUUGUUAAGGUGUCACCAAAGCUUGCGGUCAUACUUGUGGAAGUAAGGUAGUUUCUGGAGAGGAAGUGGUACAUGCAUAAAAGCAACUAUUGGGGGGAAGAGAUGAAGGCCUUUGCAACAUCCUCAUUUACUUCCAAAAAUGGUAAAAUUGUUUGCACAGAGAAACUGGUGGCAAUAGCAAGACAAAGGACCUGUUUGUGUUCGGAAUCAUAUUGCAUGUGCUCAUCAUUUUAUCUUUAAGAACAAACAGCUAUUUGUUCAGCAAAAUAAGAUUCUUAGUGGCCUCAAAAUUCCCUCUGUUAUACUUCAGAUCAUCAUGAAGGCUGGCAUGCUUGAAGGUGGGGAAAGAACUCCAAUGCUGAAUCCUGUUGAACUUGAGGAGAUUGGUUCCAUGCUUGUGAGCUAUCCAAUAUAUUUGAUUGGGAUAUCAAUCUCAACACUGGAGGUUGGUGUGGAGCAAGUAAUACCAUACCAGUGGCAAAAACUCUGGAAGCCAUCUCUAAGACUACAACAGCAGCCUUUUGAAGCUGAAGAUUGCUGCUCAUGGUCGGUUUGCAGCCUCUGCCGGUCUCACUUUGGUAAGCUCAGGUUGCUGCACAAGAUGCAAUAAACAAAUGGUGGCUGUGGUCAAAAGAAAGGAAAAAGAGAGGGGCUUUGCAUCCAAAGAAGAAACACUUUCAGUUACGUUCCACUUGGUCAGUAAAGCAAGGCAGGCAUUGAUUUCCAUAAAGGACACGAGAGAGAGAGAGAGGCCGAGGAAUGGAAUUCUGGGCUAGAUGCAGUGAAAGAGGCCAAGCUAAAGCAGUAAACCUAAUUGUGUGGCUGCUGCUUAUAGAAGAAUUGUGUAUUCAAAUCCCAGAGGACCAAGCUAUAGACGAAGACAAAGAUCAGUCAAGGGCUGCUGCUGAACCUGGCUGAUGCAAUCCACUUCAGCCUUCCAAGUAUUAUAAGGCUUCUUAGUCAUAGUAUAACACAGACAAUUUGGUGAGAUGUUACAAAAAUCUCCAAUCAGAACUCUGUCACAAAAAAAAAAAAACACCAAAAAGAAAGAAAAGGAGGCAACAGCAGCAACUUGUUAAAAAGAAGGGAGAAUGAACUUUCUCAACCACUA